GGGGGGUGCGAGCGUUGUCCGGAAUCAUUGGGCGUAAAGGGCGCGUAGGUGGCGGGACAAGCGUGCGGUGAAAGCCUGGGGCUCAACCCCGGGUCGGCCGUGCGAACUGUUUUGCUUGAGCACUGUAGAGGCAGGCGGAAUUCCGGGUGUAGCGGUGGAAUGCGUAGAGAUCCGGAAGAACACCGGUGGCGAAGGCGGCCUGCUGGGCAGUAGCUGACACUGAGGCGCGACAGCGUGGGGAGCAAACAGGAUUAGAUACCCUGGUAGUCCACGCCGUAAACGAUGGGCACUAGGCGCUUGGGGGAGCGACCCCCCGAGGGCCGGCGCUAACGCAUUAAGUGCCCCGCCUGGGGAGUACGGCCGCAAGGCUG
rnacentral:rRNA from 1 species